GACCAGCGGCGACCACAGUCCCUCACACGGGGACCAGGACCAGCGGCGACCACAGUCCCUCCCAAGAGGACUAGGACCAGCAGUGACCACGUUCCCUUCCACAGGGAACAGGCAGCGGUGACCACAGACCAUUCUCACGGGGACCAGGACCAGCGGUGACCACGCCUCAAAAAGGGAAAGUGGGAAUGAAGAAAGCCAUGACAUGGGAUAACCACCGUCAGUGGCAGGUCUCCGGCCUCCCUAUGCAGCAUGGUGACCCCCAGGCUUAUCAAGAUAUAAAAGUCCAUCCUGGAGGGCACAUUCGGCUCCGCAGGCUUCUCCCAGUCUCUCUACAGCUUAUGAGUGGUUGAACCAGAUUCAGAACUGCUCUCCAGAGGACUUUUGGAAAUUUGGGGAUGGAGAAGGAAAUUUGUUGUCAGAAUGAUUAAGGAAUGUCAUCAAUAUUUCACAACUAGGCCCAGAAGUUUUAACACCUUGCAACGUAUGGGACAUCCCUGCCUAAAGAAAAAAUGCUUUUCCCCAAAUGCCAGUAGAUACCUGUAUUAGUCAGGGUUCUCCAAGGAAACAGAACUAAAGGGAAAUUCAUAUUCGUAAA